rnacentral:rRNA from 1 species
AUUGAACGCUGGCGGCAUGCUUUACACAUGCAAGUCGAACGACAGCACGGGCUUCGGCCUGGCGUCGCGUUGCGGACGGGUGAGUAAUGCAUCGGAACGUGCCCUGUAGUGGGGGAUAGCCCGGCUACAGCCGGAUUAAUACCGCAUACGACCUGAGGGUGAAAGCGGUGGACCGAAAGGCCUCGCGCUAUUUGAUCGGCCGAUGACGGAUUAGCUAGUUGGAUGGGUAAAGGCUUACCAAGGCGACGAUCCGUAGCUGCUCUGAGAGGACGACCAGCCACACUGGGACUGAGACACGGCCCAGACUCCUACGGGAGGCAGCAGUGGGGAAUUUUGGACAAUGGGGGCAACCCUGAUCCAGCCAUGCCGCGUGCGGGAAGAAGGCCUUCGGGUUGUAAACCGCUUUUGUUCGGGAAGAAAACCUGUGGGCUAAUACCCCGGGGGGAUGACGGUACCGGAAGAAUAAGCACCGGCUAACUACGUG